AUGGCGUCUGAUCCUGAACAACCUCCACUUUCCUCUUUCUCAAAGGAAGGAAAGCCACCCGCGGGGGUUACAACUGAAAGGGAGCCUCUGCUUAAUGGGUUACAUGCCUCUCAAAACUAUUCCAUCACUGCUGCAAUUCUCCCAUUUCUCUUCCCAGCUUUUGGUGGUCUGCUAUUUGGCUACGACAUUGGUGCCACAUCUAGUGCAACAAUCUCCAUCCAGUCACCAUCACAAAGUGGAAUAAUUUGCUGUUAG